GCAUAGAGAGCUUGCUCUCUGAUGGCGAGUGGCGAACGGGUGAGUAAUAUAUCGGAACGUGCCCAGUAAUGGGGAAUAACUAGCCGAAAGGUUAGCUAAUACCGCAUACGACCUACGGGUGAAAGCAGGGGAUCUUAGGACCUUGCGUUAUUGGAGCGGCCGAUAUCUGAUUAGCUUGUUGGUGGGGUAAAAGCCUACCAAGGCAACGAUCAGUAGCUGGUCUGAGAGGACGAUCAGCCACACUGGAACUGAGACACGGUCCAGACUCCUACGGGAGGCAGCAGUGGGGAAUUUUGGACAAUGGGGGAAACCCUGAUCCAGCCAUCCCGCGUGAGUGAAGAAGGCCUUCGGGUUGUAAAGCUCUUUCGAAAGUGAAGAAAACUUAUUUCAUAAUAUGUUAUGAGUAUGACGGUAACUUUAGAAGAAGCACCGGCUAACUACGUGCCAGCAGCCGCGGUAAUACGUAGGGUGCGAGCGUUAAUCGGAAUUACUGGGCGUAAAGCGUGCGCAGGCGGUUUUGUAAGUCAGAUGUGAAAUCCCCGAGCUUAACUUGGGAACUGCGUUUGAAACUACAAGACUAGAGUGUGUCAGAGGGGGGUAGAAUUCCACGUGUAGCAGUGAAAUGCGUAGAGAUGUGGAGGAAUACCAAUGGCGAAGGCAGCCCCCUGGGAUAACACUGACGCUCAUGCACGAAAGCGUGGGGAGCGAACAGGAUUAGAUACCCUGGUAGUCCACGCCCUAAACGAUGUCAACUAGUUGUUGGUGGAGUAAGAUCCAUGAGUAACGUAGCUAACGCGUGAAGUUGACCGCCUGGGGAGUACGGUCGCAAGAUUAAAACUCAAAUGAAUUGACGG
rnacentral:rRNA from 1 species